UACGUAGGGUGCGAGCGUUAAUCGGAAUUACUGGGCGUAAAGCGUGCGCAGGCGGUUUGUUAAGGCAGAUGUGAAAUCCCCGGGCUUAACCUGGGAACUGCAUUUGUGACUGGCAAGCUAGAGUAUGGCAGAGGGGGGUAGAAUUCCACGUGUAGCAGUGAAAUGCGUAGAGAUGUGGAGGAAUACCGAUGGCGAAGGCAGCCCCCUGGGCCAAUACUGACGCUCAUGCACGAAAGCGUGGGGAGCAAACAGGAUUAGAGUACCCCAG
rnacentral:rRNA from 1 species